CCGCGGGCGGCGUCGGGAAACGGAGUGCGGAGCCGUGGUUGGGGGUGGGGGGCGGAGCGGAGCGGCUCGAGGGGGGCCGAGAGCUCCGUACUGCCCCGAGAGGCGGCUGAGGUGAGAGGAGCGGUGGUCGCGCUCUGCCACGGGGAGCCGCGGUAGGACGGCAGGCGGUGGCCGCGUAUUGCACUGGGGACGUUCAGAACGGAGGCGGGAACGAUCCCUUCUGGGGGAGGAGGUGAAAUGAGCGGGCAGAGGCUGCCCGGAGAGUCACUGAAUGGCUGGGUUGGAAGGGACCCCAAGGAUCACGAAGCUCCAACCCCCCACCACACACAGGGCCACCAACCUCCACACUCAAUACCAGCCCAGGCUGCCCACGGCCCCAUCCAACCUGGCCUUCAACACCUCCACGGAUGGACGGGGCAUCCACAGCCUCUCUGGGCAGCUGUUCCAGCACCUCCCCACUCUCUCUGUCAAGAACUUCCCCCUCACAUCCAA
rnacentral:lncRNA from 1 species